rnacentral:lncRNA from 1 species
UUUUUUUGAGUAACACCUUUUCUGUGGCUGUGAAUUUAAAUUUACAGAGUUAAGGAGAAAAGGGAGAGCCCUCCAGCGCAGCCCACCUAGGCCUUCCCCACUCAAGCAAUAGCCCAGCCAGCCCACAUGGGGAGCUCCUAUACAGCGUUGUAAGCGCUGAUUCGCCCUGCUGGCGCCUACAUGGUCGCGAAAUGGGCCGGCCCAGGAAAUGCAGCGAGGUUGUUAGAUCGCAAAAAAUGCUGGGAAAUACGGUAGAUCGAGGAUUCGAUCUCUGACCACCACUGCGAUAACAUUCAAACACAACCACUCGGCUGAACACCGUACAAUAAUUAUUUUGAGGACAAACAGCCCUUAUUAUAUACCCAGCCUGUUACGCAUAUUAUUUUUUAUAAUAAAAUAAAAAUAAAAAUGAAUGCACAAUAUAAAAAACGUGAGUUUCAAGAAAGUUCAUAAAAAAUGGAAAAAGGUUCGUACAAACUGAAAAAAUGUGAAUUUGAGAAAACUUCACGAAUUUGAUAAAAGUUCCCAAAAUUUAGAAUACAGUUCAUGAAAUUUCAAAAAAAUUUCAUCGAUUUUGAAAAUAGUUCACUGAUUUUGAACAAAUGUUCACCAAUUUAGAAAAGUUCAUCAACUUUGAAUAAAAAAGUUCAUCAAAUUUGAAAAAAUAGUUCACCGAUUUUGAAAAAAGUUCACCAACUUAGAAAAAGUUCAUCAAAAUUGAAAAAAAGUUCAUCGAUUAUAAAAAAAGUUCAUCAAAAUUGAAAAAAGGUUCAUCGAAUUUGAAAAAGUUCAUAGAAUUUCAAAAUAGUUCAUCGUUUUUUAAACAAAAUCAUCAAAUUCAAAGUGGUGCAGGGGAACCUGGUCGUACAAAAAGGAAAAACCAGAAAAAAAAAAGGAAAAGGGAAAAGGAAAAAAAGGAAAAGGAGAGAAUAAAGGAGAUGGAAGGUUGUAACUUAAUAGAACUAACUACGCGGCGGGGUGGUAACACAAACAUGUUGCGACGAUCGACGUCCCAUGUUAGAUUCACAACCUUCUUCUUCUUCAUUUUUUGCGUUCCAAAAACAUAGAAGAAGAAAAAAGCCCGAGGAACUUCUACACGGGCCCGCCCAGCAAGGGGCGCUGCAGGCGCCAGUUUGCGAAAUACAUUCAAAGGGGCGCCUGCAGUGCUAAAUAGGAAACGCCGCCCACACGUACAGGAGCAUCUUCAACCUCCUAUACGGCAGAGCAUCCAAGAGGGCACGUCGACACCUCCUCUGAUUUGACGACCGGAGUCGUCCCUAGACCUCUAUAAGAUCACCCUGGUGCCCUAGACCUCCUCCUCCCUCCAUUCCUCCCUCCUCUUCCUCCUACCACCGCAAAGGUAAGCCACCCACGCACCCGCCGUCGCCAUGGCCGAGCCGAGCUCAAGCUCGAGCCCGGCUUGACCCGGGCCGCCUCCGUCCUCCUCUCGGUGCAAGAGUUGCCAUGACGACCUCCGCCACCAGUACCUUCACCUCACGGUCCGGGAGCUCCUUCCCCGAUGUCCUCUCUGUAGUCUUCUUCCUCGGGCCAAACCGUCGCCGCCAGCCUUCUUCUUCCUCUGGAGCGACCCCUCGCACGACCUCCCCGAGCCGGAUCGCCAAGUCCAGUGCCCCGUCGCCGUCGCCGUCUUCUUCCCCUGCUUCCUCUUCUUCACAGAGCCGAGCACCGCCUCGAUCAGCGCAUCCUCCCACCGUGUCUGAUCUCCGUCGACCUUGUAUGACUCCACCAGCACCCCCAUAGUGAAGCUCCGAUCCUCCCCAUCUCUCUCCGGUUCAAUUCCGUCACCAUAGUCAUCUUCCCAAGCCUGCCUAUUUUAUAUCCGCCAUGGGAGAGUUUCUGGAACUCACCUCGCAUGCUCCUGCACACUCCCGCAUGCACUCUGCCCUCUACGUUCGCGCUCACACACAAUACCAACGCACAGUAGCCGUAGAGCACCAACCACGCGGCUCCGGUCGUCUUCUUCUCCAUGUCCGGGAUGAAUUGCAGCUCUUGCCGAAUGCCUGCAUGCCCCACCGAUCGAGGCCAUGGCUGAGCGCCCCCACCUGCAAGACCAACCCUUUCUCUUUGUUAUUUGCUCCGCUUGGGUUCAGAUCCGAUGUACAUCUUCAGCGAGUCCACCUGCAUCACAAACACCCUCGCGACCAUCCUUGCUACAACCACGCAUGCACCUGCAUGCAUCCAAGCACACGUCAUCUCCAGUCCAGCUAGGGCUGCCAUGGCCGAGAGCAUCGAGCCCAGGGGCAUUCCCACCUAUUUAGGCCAAGCACAUGCGCGUUCCAUGGCUGCUACCUUCUUAGGUUUCCGCAAGCCGGCUGCUGUCCGGUAGCUUCAAUCUUCGCUGUGUUGCUCGCUUUUGACGCCGGCGAGCCAUGACUCUAAAGGCCCGGCCUUCUGUAGUUCGUCCAGUAAAUAGUCUUCCUAUCCUGUACACAGACGCUUCACAGCUCAGCUGGUCACCUCCAGCGCUCCAUAUCCAGGGCGCCUUCAAUUUUUGCUCUGUUAUUUUUCUUCUCUCUGCACACACACUCGCACUUGGGCCAAAUCCUCCAGGGCCUCUGCCACUGUUUUAGAUUCGGCCCGAUGAUAUUUUUUCCCGUCUCUGCGAUUUUGUCAAUAAACCUGUUAUUGCAUAGCAAUACCAGGAAAUGCCAUUAAAAUUGCAUUGCUCAUAUCUAAAUAUCCAUGCAUGCAUCAUAAUAAACCAUGUCAUAUAUGUAAAAUGAUUAGAAUUUCAUCUACUUUCAUAAUAUGCUCCCUUCAUCCAUGUAAAAAAUGUUUAAAUGUGAUGUUUGAAUUAAUUUGCAUAAAUGACAUGUUAAAACGGCUUAUUUCAUAAUUAAAUAACCGUAGCACCCAAUUAAUAAACUGUAUAUGUAUUCAGGGUAGAAAGAUGUGUAGAUAAACAUGGUGCACUUACUUUGCAUAUUUAACAACAUUAAAACUGUGGUUUAGGGCAGAACAGUACCAAAUUCGAAAUUUGCAUAUGGGGACAUUUCAGAAUUGUUUGUUUUUUCGGACUCAUUUAAACUUUCUUUGAUGUGGGGUUCUUUCAUGCAUCGUCUCUUGCCAUGAGUAACAACAUUUAACCUUGUCAUGCAUCAUGCUUGAUUGUGCAUCAUGUCUUGUCAUGCUUGUUUGUUUACCGUGUUGUUUGCUUCUUUCCGGUUGUGCUUAUUCACAAUAGUUCCGAUGUCAUUGUGAUUGUGAGGAUGUGUUCGACUACGUUGGCUCGUCUACUUCAUGGACUCGAUCUUCUUCCGAGCGGGAUUUCAGGCAAGAUGACCAUUACCUUGGAUAUCACUACUAUCUUUGCUUUGCUAGUUGUCUCGAUGCUAUCGCUAUGUCGCGCUACCUACCACUUGUUUGUCAAGCCUCCCAAAUUGCCAUGAUAAGCCUCUAACCUUUUCCACCUUCCUAGCAAACCGUUGUUUGGCUAUGUUACCGCUUGCUCAGCCCUUCUUAUAGCAUUGCUAGUUGCAGGUGCAGUUGCUGGUUGUUCCAUGUUGGGACAUGGAUAUCAUGGGAUAUCACAAUAUCUCUUAUUUAAUUAAUGCAUAUAUAUAUUUGGUAAAGGGUGGAAGGCGUAGCCUUUUGCUUGGUGUUUUGUUCCACUCUUGCCACUCUAGUUUCCGUCAUACCGGUGUUAUGUUCCUUGACGAGCGCUCCUAACACAUGUGGGUGUAUGGGAACCCCAUGUCCAUUCGCUUUGGUUUAAACUCCUCCAGCAAGGCCCAACUUGGUUUUAAUUUGCCUAAUAACAACUAAAACUUGCAUAGCGACUUUUCUGGACCCCGUGGAUAAUUAAUCAACAAACCGGGCCACUGCUCGUCAUGAGUGUUUGUCCAUCUACCUAGUAGUCGGCGGUGCCGCCUUGGGGCAACUCGAUGGCAUUUUGGCUAUCGUCCACUUUGCAUAGACGAUGUGGUCCUGAGAACGAGAUACGCGUGGCUCCUAUCGGGGUGACGACACACCGGGUGGUCUUGCUGGUUUAGUUUUGCCUUUGCUGAGAUGCUUGUCCAUCGAAAUUCCUUAUCGUAAGCAUUGUGUUCUUCAUGGUGUGAGGAUGUCCCAUCGGAUGCGCGUGGAAUUUAUAAUGGACCACUUGGAGCAACCCUGCAGGGUUAAACCUUUUCGGAAGUCGUGGUCGCGGUUAUGUGGCAUAUUGGAAAUUUAUAAUAUCCGGUUGUAGAGAACUUGACACCAGAUCCGAAUUAAAAUACACCAACCUCGUGCGUAACCAUGACCGUCUCUUUUCGAGUGAGUUCGAGAAGAGAACACGGUGGGGUUAUGUUUGACUCGUAAGUAGUUAAGGAUCACUUGUUGAUCAUUACUAGUUUGAGACCGUCAUGCGUAGUUACUCUUCUUAUUCUUGUACUCAUAAGUUAGCCACCAUACAAUGCUUAGUGCUGCUGGAACCUCACCACUUAUCCAUUCCACACCCAUUAAGCUUUGCUAGUCUUGAUACCCAUGGUAAUUGGAUUGCUGAGUCCUCGUGGCUUACAGAUUACUACAACAACAGAUGCAGGUACAUGUAAUGUGAUGAUAUGACGUGGGAGCUAUGCUUCCUUGUUUUGGAGUUCUUCUUCUGCUUCUUCUUUUCUUCUCCGAUCGAGUGAUAGGUUCCUGGUCGGCAGCCUGGGCUAGCAGGGUUGAUGUCGUUUGAGUUUUCAUUUGUGUUUCAUCCGUAGUCAGAUGCUGCUCUUCUGUAUGAUGUUUGAUGUAUUCAUGGGGCGUUUGUAUGCCUUUGUAUGUAUCCCCAUCUAUUAUGUAUAUGGUACGAUGUAAUGAUACCCACCUUGCAAAGCGUCUUCAAUAUGCUACUUUAUCCUUGGUGGGCCUCCGAGUUUUUCUCGGAUUGGAUCGCAUAUUGGGCGUGACAAGUUGGUAUCAGAGCCUCGACCGACCAUAGGAGCCCCCUUGAUUGAUCGUAGUUUGGCCGUUGUCUAGUCUAGAAGAAAAAGUAUUUUAGAGUCUAGUUAUAUCGGAGAGUAGGAAUUCUUUUUACUCUUUAUCCCCUUCGCCGCUCUGGUUAGGAUUUGUGACGUAGGUGUUUGAUUCUACUACUCUUCCCCUUCAAAUUUUGUUUAGGAUCACGCGGUUAUUUUUUCAAUCGUUGCAACGUCAACUCUUUUUUCAACCGGUGAACUUCUCCUCAAGCUAUUUAGAUCCUAUUCAUCUUUGCAAGAUCAACUUUUUUCUUUUCUCAAUGAUGUCGUUUCCCGUCCCAAGGUGUUUUCUUUUCCCACCCACCCGCCAUUUUUCUUCACGGUAUCCGAAGUAUCGAAUCGAGUAUCCAUUUUGUUCGUGCGAAGCCUCUUCAUUCUUUCCUCAAUUGUCUCAAUCUAGGAAUUCUCGUCUAGUUCAUCAUUGUUCGUCUCAUUUUGUUUUCCGGUGGAUUCAGUUCAAGUUUUUCAGAUUGAUCAUAUUCCUGUUCUUGGCCAAAUGUUUCCCCUUGCGUGUUCGCCUCUCAAAAUUUAAUCAUUCUGGAGUGUUGAAGACAUCUCAGAAGAUUCGUUCUUAUGUUCAAUUAAUUCAAGGUGGUAAACUCAUACAAGUCUUUCAAAUGUUCUGGUGCAUCAUCUCUCUUCUUUAAUCGUUUUCAACGGUGUUUCUUUUCAGUGGGCCCAUAACCCAUGGGUUUUUCCCCGGGAUCUUACCUGACUCUUCUAAUUUUUCUAGAGUGUUCACAAAUUCUUCCAAGUUCGACGUCAGGAUGAGUCCUUUUCAGUCGAUUCUCUUCUUCGGGUUUUCGUUCAUUUCCUUUCAUUUUCACCUUCCACUCUCUCUUAUGUUUCGUUCCUAAGAUCUCGGGACGAGAUCUUCUGUUAGUGGGGAGUGUUGUGACGCCCCGAGAUUGCUGCUCUAGUUGUCUUCCAUUUAUUUCCGUUGCCCUCGUGUGUUUCAAUUGUUUGUUGCCAUGAUCAUGUUGAGUGCAUUGUCAUAUAUUUUGUUCUUGCAUCAUGUGCAUCAUUGUUAUUAUUGCAUUGCCAUUCUUAUCAUGGAUCAUAAUGCAUAGGCAUACUUGCUGGUUGUUUUUGUUGUGUGCUUGAGUGUGUGAUCAACCCCUGCAUUGUCUCUUUCUCAACUCCAUGUUCUUCUACUCCCACAACCUUGCUUGAUCAUCUUCUUCUCCUUGUUCUUUAAUCCAUUUAAAUUGUGGUAUUUUAUUUCCUGCCCCAAUUUAAUGUUCAAUCUUUUCCUAUAAAUUUUAGACCAUGCCAUUUACAUCACUGCCAAAUUUCAACUCAUUUGGUGUUGUUUUGGUUAGAUUAAAAAAUGCAUCAAGUUUGCAAUUAAUACAAACUUGAUUUAUUUUUCUAUCUCUAAAAAUACCCAAAGCAAUUUAUUCAAAUUGUGCAUACAUCCAGAAGUCUAGGGGUAUUUGUUUUUCUUCAUUACCCCUCUCCAUUAUCCCUGGCCUUUUCCUUUUCUAUGGCUGUGAAUUUAAAUUUACAGAGUUAAGGAGAAAAGGGAGAGCCCUCCCAGCGCAGCCCACCUGUGCCUUCCCUACUCCAGCAACAACCCAACUAGCCCACACAUACAGGUCAGCCCGGGCGUUCGGUCUUUUCGGUUUGUUUGGUCUGGUCUUUUUGGUCUUUCAAAAAUUCGGUCUUCCAUAAUUGAAGACCAAAAUAAUUUCAGUCUUUUCAGUUGUUCACUAUUCGGUCUUCGGUCUUUACUAUUCGGUCUUCGGUCCCGACCAAACAGACCAAAUAAAUUACUACUCCCUCGGUUCCUAAAUAUUGUAUUUUUAGAGAUUUCAAAUGGACUAUCACAUACGGAUGUAUAUAGACAUAUUUUAGUGUGUAGAUUCACUCAUUUGGCUCCGUGUGUAGUCACUUAUUGAAAUCACUAGAAAGACAAAUAUUAAGAAUGGAUGGAGUAGAACUCAUAUUUAUGUUACUUUCAGGACCUGUUAUAUACAAACUACAUAGAGUACAGAGGUACAUGUGUGUACAAAGGGGUGUGUGUACAGGUCCAUGUGUGUAAAAAGGGGUGCGUGUACAGAGACAACAAAUAUUUGUAUAGAAGAGCAUGUGUUCAUAAGAAAAAUUCAAACAAGGAACACAUGUAUGCAAUCUGCAUGUAAUACAAUACACCACAUGAAAAUCUUCAAAUAGAAAAUCAGCACCAUAUGUAAUCACCACUUCACCAGCAACAAGAUUCAUGCAUGCGUACUCAUUUAUAUUUGACAGCAAAAAGUAAGAUCAAGUAACAUCGGCGCAUGGAAUCGAUAAGAAGCAAACACCAUGAGGGCUUAGUACUUCAACAUAGUAGCUUCUGGAUUGGCACCUUCGACAACUUUUGCUUCAACAUCUUCAUCUUCAAAGAUGCUAUGUAAGACUGAUUCCUCUCCUGCUUCUGCAUCCGCCUCUGCCUCUACACUCACAAAUGCAUCAUCUUUAUUAUUCAAC